CCUGAAGUGCCACUGAAGAAGACAGGUUGGCAUCGGGCUGGUGCUUUUCUGCUUCUACUUAAAUAGGAGAGGAUUUGUUCAAACUUGGUCCCUAGGACAAGGAGCUGUUUUGGACAAACGGUUUACAGAAGAUGUUCAGCUCUGUUACGGGCUGGAGACAUGAGACAGAGAAGAGGCAAUCCCACGCUGGCUGAGCUUGCAGCCACUGAGGACUCUCUAGGGAAACUUGGGGUUCCGAAGUACCCAAUUAGAAAGCCACUGCAUGGUGGAAAUAACAGGACAGCCAUCUGAGAGACUGACUACCCACGUGGUCUCAGGUAAGUUUUCUGAGUCUGUUUCCUCGUGUGUAAAGGAAAGGCUAGACAAGGUGAUCUCAAAGGCCUGGUGAGUUCUGACGUCCUCGGGCCCUCGGCUGGCAUUCGAGGCUCCCUGGAGUCUGACGCUGACUCACAGGACCUUCCAUUCCCAUUAGGACCCUCUCCCGUCCAGACAUCUCUGCUCACCGAAAACACCACCUGCCAUCCUGUCCCUCACUAAUGACAUUUCCACCUUGCCAUGAGAUACCCUCCCCUAGUCGACUCCCGCUUCCCUCUCCUCAUCUUUAAAUUCUGCCUUAUCUUUCAGGGCUCAGCUUUCACCCCCUUUUCCUUGUGAAACUUUCUUUGAUUACCUCCACUGACAGGGAGCUCUCUCUCUUCUGUUGAAGUCAUAUUCAGGAUUGAUCACCCUAUCAUACAUCAUUCCUGAUUCUUACGAUUGA